rnacentral:rRNA from 1 species
CAUGUCUUUUUGUUUAUAAUAAAAAGUCUAAUCUGCUCCAUGAUUAAUUUUUAAAUAGCUGCAGUAUUUUGACUGUACUAAGGUAGCAUAAUCAAUAGUUUUUUAAUUGAAAGCUGGAAUGAAGGAUUGAAUGAAAUAUUUGUUGUCUCAAUUUUAUUUAUGAAAGAAUUUUAUUUUUAGUAAAAAAUCUAAAUUAAGUUUAAAAGACGAGAAGACCCUAUAGAUUUUUAUAUUUUUUAUAUAAUUUAAGAUUAAUAAAAUUUAUUUAUUAUAUAAAUGAAUAUUAAGUUGGGGAAAUUAAUUAAUUUAAAAAAUUUAAUUUAUAAUUUAACUAUAAUUAUUGGAUAAAUGAUUAAUUUAUAUUUAAUAUAAGAAUAAAUUACCUUAGGGAUAACAGCGUAAUUUUUUUUGAGAGUUCUAAUUGAUAAAAAAGUUUGCGACCUCGAUGUUGAAUUAAGAUAAAAUUUUAAUGUAGAAGUUAAAAAUUUUUGGUUUGUUCAACCAUUAAAAUCUUACGUGAU